AUUGAACGCUGGCGGCAGGCCUAACACAUGCAAGUCGAGCGGAUGAAGGGAGCUUGCUCCUGGAUUCAGCGGCGGACGGGUGAGUAAUGCCUAGGAAUCUGCCUGGUAGUGGGGGAUAACGUCCGGAAACGGGCGCUAACACCGCAUACGUCCUGAGGGAGAAAGUGGGGGAUCUUCGGACCUCACGCUAUCAGAUGAGCCUAGGUCGGAUUAGCUAGUUGGUGGGGUAAAGGCCUACCAAGGCGACGAUCCGUAACUGGUCUGAGAGGAUGAUCAGUCACACUGGAACUGAGACACGGUCCAGACUCCUACGGGAGGCAGCAGUGGGGAAUAUUGGACAAUGGGCGACAGCCUGACACAGCCAUGCCGCGUGUGUGAAGAAGGUCUUCGGAUUGUAAAGCACUUUAAGUUGGGAGGAAGGGCAGUAAGUUAAUACCUUGCUGUUUUGACGUUACAAACAGAAUAAGCACCGGCUAACUUCGUG
rnacentral:rRNA from 1 species